AUUUUUUAAUUAAUAAGAAGGCACCAUUUUCACCUUCUUCACCCUCCAAUACCACUAUAAUAAGUUGAGUCACCUUCCCAUUAAAACUUGACCACCGAGCAACCACAAGAGAUACUAGCAGAUUUGUAAAUAUCCACCACAAUUUUUCUAGGGACCGAAAGUGGAAGAGGAAAUAAUUGAAGUUGCAGCCACUUCAAAACCCAAUAAUUUUCACAAACCAAAAUUGAUUUAUGCACCCUACACGCCAUUCAGCAAGGUGAUGCGGAAGAAAAUAUUGUGGUGGUCAUCGGUGGUCUCCAUCGCCGGUGAUGGUUCAAACUUUUCCAUUGUGUUUAUUGCAAUUGAUGGUUCGAAGGUUUCAACGAUGAGUUUUCGACAGGUUCCGAUGAAAUUCCUAUCCUUCUUGAUGAUUUUUUGGACAAAGUUCCUAUCCUAACGAUUUUGCAUAAUGAAAUUCUGAUGAUUUUCUAUCUUUAAUUAUGAUGAAAAGAAGAAGCUAUGGCAAUGGCAGCAACAGAGAACUGGGUUCUUUGCUGGUCUUUUGUUUUUUUGUGUUUUUCUUUCUUUUCUUUUUUUUAAAUCUUUUUUCUCCUAUUUAAGUCAUUUUCUGUUUAAUCUUUGUAUUCACGCUUUUUUUUUUAGUGCGUGUACCAAACAUUUUAUCCA